rnacentral:rRNA from 1 species
UCCUAAGAAGAUUAAGAAGUUUGAUCAUUGGGCUCAGGACGAACGCUUGGCGGCGUGCCUAACACAUUGCAAGUCGAACGAUUUGGACGUCAGUCAUCAGUACGUCAGUACGUCGGGAUAGAAGGAAUUCGCAAGGCGAAUUCAUAUUGAAUCCUACGAUUGAUGCUCGGUGACUUACAUCGGACAUAGUAUUUAGGAAAGGAAUUCGUGUAGCGAAUUCUAACAAGCCUUACGACUGAUGCCCGAUGACUGACGACUGAAUAGUGGCGGACGGGUGAGUAACGCGUGGAUAACCUACCUAUAUGUGGGGGAUAACAGUUGGAAACGACUGCUAAUACCGCAUGUGAUCACAGAUUUAGUUUGUGAGGAAAGAUGGCCUCUGAUAUAAGCUAUCGCAUAUAGAUGGGUCCGCGUCUGAUUAGUUAGUUGGUGGGGUAAAGGCCUACCAAGGCGACGAUCAGUAGCCGGCCUGAGAGGGUGAACGGCCACACUGGGACUGAGACACGGCCCAGACUCCUACGGGAGGCAGCAGUGGGGAAUAUUGCGCAAUGGGGGAAACCCUGACGCAGCGACGCCGCGUGAGCGAAGAAGGCCUUAGGGUUGUAAAGCUCUGUUGUAAGGGAAGAAUGGCAUUGGGAGUAAUAUGCCUGAUGCAUGACGGUACCUUACGAGGAAGCCCCGGCUAACUACGUGCCAGCAGCCGCGGUAAGACGUAGGGGGCGAGCGUUGUCCGGAAUUACUGGGCGUAAAGAGCACGUAGGCGGAUAUUUAAGUCAGUUGUGAAAGACCGCAGCUCAACUGCGGGGUUGCAAAUGAAACUGGGUAUCUUGAGGGCAGGAGAGGGCAGUGGAAUUCCUGGUGUAGCGGUGAAAUGCGUAGAAAUCAGGAGGAACACCAGUGGCGAAGGCGGCUGUCUGGACUGACCCUGACGCUGAGGUGCGAAAGCGUGGGUAGCAAACAGGAUUAGAUACCCUGGUAGUCCACGCUGUAAACGAUGGAUACUAGGUGUGGGAGGUAUCGACCCCUUCCGUGCCGCAGCUAACGCAAUAAGUAUCCCGCCUGGGGAGUACGGUCGCAAGGCUGAAACUCAAAUGAAUUGACGG